rnacentral:rRNA from 1 species
GACGAACGCUGGCGGCGUGCUUAACACAUGCAAGUCAAGGGGGCCCGCAAGGGUAACCGGCGAACGGGUGCGUAACACGUGAGCAAUCUGCCUAGAUGUGGGGGAUAGCCGGCCCAACGGCCGGGUAAUACCGCAUACGCUCGUCGACUGGCAUCAGUUGACGAGGAAACUUUCGAGGCAUCUAGAGGAGCUCGCGGCCUAUCAGCUAGUUGGUGGGGUAACGGCCUACCAAGGCGGUGACGGGUAGCUGGUCUGAGAGGAUGGCCAGCCACAUUGGGACUGAGAUACGGCCCAGACUCCUACGGGAGGCAGCAGUGGGGAAUAUUGCGCAAUGGUCGAAAGGCUGACGCAGCGACGCCGCGUGGGGGGAUGAAGCAUUCGGUGUGUAAACCCCUGUUGCUCGGGACGAACAAGCCUUUUCGAGGGCUCUGACGGUACCGAGUGAGGAAGCACCGGCUAACUCCGUGCCAGCAGCCGCGGUAAU